rnacentral:rRNA from 1 species
AACACAUGCAAGUCGAGCGGUUGAGGUAGCUUGCUACCGAAGCAGCGGCGAACGGGUGAGUAAUACAUGGGAAUCUGCCUGGUAGUGGGGGACAACGUUUCGAAAGGAACGCUAAUACCGCAUACGCCCUACGGGGGAAAGGGGGGGAUCUUCGGACCUCUCGCUAUCAGAUGAGCCCAUGUCGGAUUAGCUUGUUGGUGAGGUAAAGGCUCACCAAGGCGACGAUCCGUAACUGGUCUGAGAGGAUGAUCAGUCACACUGGAACUGAGACACGGUCCAGACUCCUACGGGAGGCAGCAGUGGGGAAUAUUGGACAAUGGGCGCAAGCCUGAUCCAGCCAUGCCGCGUGUGUGAAGAAGGCCUUAAGGUUGUAAAGCACUUUCAGUGGGGAGAAAGGUGAUUCACCUAAUACGUGAGUUAAUUGAUGUUACCCACAGAAGAAGCACCGGCUAACUCCGUGCCAGCAGCCGCGGUAAUACGGAGGGUGCAAGCGUUAAUCGGAAUUACUGGGCGUAAA